UGGUCGGGUAGGGUGUAGGUCUCGCCAGCCUAUACACCCGCGUGGCGUAAUGCGGGCACCAGUAACCAUUAUGCGGUUCAUAUGCAGGUGAGGAAGUCCAGAGAUUACGAUGAAGACCGCCUAGCAGGGCUGGCGGAUGUGGUCCUUUCCUUCGGAGGAAGGAGAGGAACCACAUUAGCUGGGAGAAUCGACGAGGCCCGGAAGGGAGCAGUCGUACCCGGACGUCGGCGCUUGCUAGUCUCCGGUCCGAGGAGGCUUUGGGUAUAACUUCCCCAUCUGUAUAGGACCGCAUAAUGGAGCCGACCG
rnacentral:SRP_RNA from 1 species